GUCCCUGUAGAGCAAUGGAUAGCGCGCUGGACUUCUAAUCUAAAGGCCGUGGGUUCGAAUCCCACCUGGGAUG
rnacentral:tRNA from 1 species